rnacentral:pre_miRNA from 1 species
UGAUGGUGUCAUGCAAAGUGCUGGGAGAUAUCGUGUGCUACCUCAUCCCGUGGUAUCAUCACCCAGCACCGUGCGUGUCUGUCG